rnacentral:rRNA from 1 species
UUGGAGGGCAAGUCUGGUGCCAGCAGCCGCGGUAAUUCCAGCUCCAAUAGCGUAUAUUAAAGUUGUUGUGGUUAAAAAGCUCGUAGUUGAACCUUGGGCCUGGCUGGCCGGUCCGCCUCACCGCGAGUACUGGCUCGGCCGGGCCUUUCCCCCUGUGGAACCCCAUGCCCUUCACUGGGUGUGGCGGGAAAACAGGACUUUUACUUUGAAAAAAUUAGAGUGCUCCAGGCAGGCCUAUGCUCGAAUACAUUAGCAUGGAAUAAUAGAAUAGGACGUGUGG